rnacentral:rRNA from 1 species
UGCCUUGAAGAGGGGGACAACCAGUUGGAAACGACUGCUUAUUCCGGCAUGACGCAUUAGGGUUAGCAUAUUUUAUAUGCCAAAGAUUUAUCGCUUCAAGAUGGCCUCGCGUCUGAUUAGCUGGUCGGCGGGGUAACGGCCCACCAAAGGCGACGAUCAGUAGCCGGACUGAGAGGUUGAACGGCCACAUUGGAACUGAGAAACGGUCCAGACUCUUACGGGAGGCAGCAGUGGGGAAUAUCGGGCAAUGGGCGAAAGCCUGACCCAGCAACGCCGCGUGAGGGAAGAAGGGUUUCGGCUCGUAAACCUCUGUCCUAUGGGACGAAGGAAGUGACGGUACCAUAGGAGGAAGCCCCGGCUAACUACGUGCCAGCAGCCGCGGUAAUACGUAGGGGGCGAGCGUUGUCCGGAAUGAUUGGGCGUAAAGGGCGCGUAGGCGGCCUGCUAAGUCUGGAGUGAAAGUCCUGCUUUCAAGGUGGGAAUUGCUUUGGAUACUGGGAGGCUGGAGUGCAGGAGAGGAAAGCGGAAUUACCGGUGUAGCGGUGAAAUGCGUAGAGAUCGGUAGGAACACCAGUGGCGAAGGCGGCUUUCUGGACUGUAACUGACGCUGAGGCGCGAAAGCGUGAGGAGCAAACAGGAUUAGAUACCCUGGUAGUCCACGCAGUAAACGAUGAUUACUAGUUGUU